CACACUGGGAGUUACCGGAUUUUAGUGCCUUAUCCAAUUAAAAUGAAGUUACCAACAUCUGGUUUGGCACAAACACAGUGACUCAUUGUCUGCGCGGUUUUUCAGUUGUAUAAUCUUGGGAGAAUUUUUUUUGUAUACGUAGCAUAAUUUUAGCAUACAUAACAUCUUAUGUCACAGCGUUAUGCGACAUAAGAUUUCACAUAAUGUAGUACAUCUUAUUUUAAGUUCAUGAACAACUUUUAUUUUGUAAAUGCAAACCGGAAGUACUAACAACUAUAUAGUAGGUCUAAAUACACGACUGACACGGGGCAGUUAGCUGGUUGCUAAACAACAAUGAGGAGGUAGCAGAUUCAGUUGUAUCAUCUCCUUUUACGCAUCUUCUACACGGCUCCAGUCCCAACUACAUGCAGAGACAUCUUAUUUUCUUGGUUCAGAAGACUGUCUGUGUGGGCCGACGACCUUUUGGUACACUAAUCCGAUGUAAACAACCUUCAACGUUUUGCAGAACAUUUGUAAUUUCAUCCACCUCUGAUCAGCAAAAAUCCUUAGCUUCCCAUAAACACCAUCUUCAAAAAAGACACGCUCCCUGGACUUCAAUUUGCCGGUGCUUUUCUGAGUGGCCAGAUAUGUCGGAACAACGCUUCCUUGUGGAAUACGCCAAACGUGGCACGGCGGGGUGCAAGAAAUGCAAGGACAAAAUCCAGAAGGGCAUCGUGCGCAUAGGGAAAAUCGUACCAAACCCUUUCAGUGAGUCUGCUGGCGAAAUGAAGGAGUGGUAUCACGUGAAGUGCAUAUUUGAGAAGCUGGAGAGGGCAAGAGCCACGACGAAGAAGAUCGAGGACCUGACAGAGCUGGAGGGCUGGGAGGAGCUGCAGGACGAGGACAAAGAGCUCAUUAAUAAACACGUUUCAGACCUUAUGGCCAAAGUCAACGCAAGUCCUAAAAAGAAGGUCCAGGCCAAGUUGAACACCACUGGUCAGCUCAUGGCGCCCCCUGCUGACCCUUCUGUCAAUGCUCCGAGGAAGUUUUCUGGCUUCACAGCUGCGAAGGCUGGCAGCUCCGGUAGCUCAAGCAGCCCCGGACUGUCGGCCUCCCCGGCGGCCAAAGCCGGCUCCAGCAGCGUCCUGUCCACUCAGCUCUGUGACGCCCAGCACAAAGACUGCCUCUUCAGGGAGUUUCGCAAACUCUGCGCAAUGGUGGCUGAAAACAACAGCUACAACAGCAAGACACAGAUUAUAGAGAAGUUCCUGAAGAAGGGCACAGGAGGAGAUAAAUUCCACGGAGAUCUUUACCUGACGGUGAAACUGCUGCUGCCAGGCGUGGUGAAAAGUGUUUACAACCUGAACGAUAAGCAGAUAGUAAAACUCUUCAGCCGCAUAUUCAGAUCCAACCAGGAGGACAUGGUGCGAGAUCUGGAGCAGGGCGACGUGUCAGAAACUGUGAGGAUUUUCUUUGAGGAGAGCAAAUCUUUUCCUCCUGCUGCCAAGAGCCUCCUAACAAUCCAGGAAGUAGAUGCGUCCCUGAUGCGCCUCGCUCAGCUCACGAAGGAGGACGAGCAGCAGAGCGAGCUGGAGAGCAUCGCCAAAAAGUGCACCAGCAACGACCUGAAAUGCAUUAUCAGGCUAAUUAAGCACGACUUGAAGAUGAACGCCGGCGCCAAACACGUGUUGGAUGCGGUAGAUCCAAACGCGUAUGAUGCCUUCAAGGCCUCCCGUAACCUUGGCGACGUGAUCGAGAGGGUUCUGAGGAACCAGCAGGACGCCUCCAGCGGCUCUGGACCCAGGAAGCUCCUGACCGUGGAGGCGUCGCUCAUGACUCCUGUCCAGCCGAUGCUGGCCGAGGCGUGUAAAUCCAUCGAAUACGCCAUGAAGAAAUGUCCCAACGGGAUGUACUCUGAGAUAAAAUACGACGGCGAGCGCGUUCAGGUCCACAAGAACGGAAACACUUUCAGCUACUUCAGCCGCAGCCUCAAGCCAGUGCUGCCCCACAAGGUGGCCCACUUCAAAGAGUACAUCCCUCAGGCUUUCCCCGGCGGCCACAGCAUGAUUCUGGACGCUGAAGUCCUGCUGAUUGACACAAAGACCAGCAAACCGCUGCCGUUUGGCACUCUGGGUGUUCACAAGAAAGCUGCCUUUCAAGACGCCAACGUGUGUCUGUUUGUGUUUGACUGCAUUUACUUCAACGGUGUGAGUUUGAUGGAAAGGCCACUCUGCGAACGCAGGAAGUUUCUGGACGACAACAUGGUGGAAGUCCCAAACAGGAUCCUCUUCUCAGAGAUGAAGCAUGUCACGAGGGCAGGAGACCUGGCGGAGAUGAUAACUCGCGUCAUCAGAGAAGGACUGGAAGGCCUGGUGCUGAAAGACGUAAAGGGAAGCUAUGAGCCGGGGAAGCGACACUGGCUGAAGGUGAAGAAGGAUUAUUUGAACGAGGGAGCGAUGGCCGACACGGCAGACCUGGUGGUGCUCGGUGCCUUCUAUGGAAAAGGAUCAAACGGGGGCAUCAUGUCUAGCUUUCUGAUGGGCUGCUACGACCCAGACUCGAAGAAGUGGUGCACGGUGACCAAGUGCUCCGGAGGCUACGAUGACGCCAUGCUGGCCCGACUCCAGAAGGAGCUGGAUGUGAUCAAAAUCAGCAAGGAACCGGGGAAAAUCCCCAGCUGGUUGAAAAUUGUCAAGAACUAUUAUCCUGAUUUCAUUAUCCGUGACCCUGAGCAAGCUCCGGUCUGGGAGAUCACCGGCGCAGAGUUUUCCAAAUCAGAAAUGCACACCGCCGACGGCAUCUCCAUCCGCUUCCCCCGUAUGACGCGAAUCCGCGACGACAAGGACUGGAAGACGGCCACCAACCUGCACCAGCUCAGGGAGCUGUUUCGCAUUUCGAAGGAGAACUGCGACUUUAAAGUGACGGCGGGUCCUUCCACGUCCGACGACAAAGGCUCGUCGGGAGGAGACAGCGGGGGAAACUCGCCGUCGUCCUCAUCCAGCAGGAGCGCUCCGGCUAAAAAGACGAGUAACAGCACUCCUACCAAACCAAAGGCUCUAAAAUCAAAACCUCGCACUCCCACCUCUCAGGCCUCCAGCGCCAAGAAGGUGAAGAGCGAGGAGAGCAUUCAAAGCAACGGACAAAACAAAACGUCUUCCCAGCUGCUGCAGCCAAGGAACGACAAGACGCUGCUGGACAUCUUCAGCGGGGUCAAGCUCUUCCUCCCCGACUCCGUUCAGGACUUCGACAGGCUGCGGCGGUACUUUGUGGCGUACGACGGAGACCUGGUGCCAGAUUACGACUCGGCCUCGGCUACACACACGCUGGGCGACCCGCAGGGGGGCAGCCGGACCCAGAGGGUUUCUCCCAGCUGGAUCUGGGAAUGCAUCCGAAAGCGGCGAGUCGUUCCUCCCUGCUGAGAGGAAGACACGAUGAGUGUUGGGGUCGGGGUCGCAGGGCAGCUCUUCAGUUCAACGUUCUCUCAGCAAUGGGGCAUAUGACCUUCCAACCACCUUCAGAACUGAAGAAACAUUUUGGAUCAGAGGGAAAAAUCUCCAAGAACCAAAAGAAGUUCAGUUGCUGUUGCGUACAACCGAUGAAGAAAACUCGGCUAAAAAUACCAGCAGGAGUCUACAAAAAGUCACUGCUGCAAGUUAUUUCAGAUUUUUAUGUGUCUACAAGUGAUUUAGGGCAUGUGCACUUUAUUUUUAAUUAUGGUGGUACGUCCUUUCCCACCUGCCUGCUUUCGCAUUUUGCACAAAGUCAGCAUGUGGGUCCAGCUUGUAGGUAACAGCCUCUGUGUUCUGCAUGUAAAUGAGCAGCAUGA